rnacentral:rRNA from 1 species
AGUGAACGCUGGCGGUAGGCCUAACACAUGCAAGUCGAACGGCAGCACAGUAAGAGCUUGCUCUUACGGGUGGCGAGUGGCGGACGGGUGAGGAAUACAUCGGAAUCUACUCUUUCGUGGGGGAUAACGUAGGGAAACUUAAGCUAAUAUCGCAUACGACGUACGGGUGAAGGCAGGGGAAAUUCGGGCCUGGCGCGAUUGAAUGAGCCGAUGUCGGAUUAGCUAGUUGGGGGGGUAAAGGCCCAGCAAGGCGACGAUCCGUAGCCGGUCUGGGAGGAUGGUCAGCCACACUGGAGCUGAGACACGGUCCAGACUCCUACGGGAGGCAGCAGUGGGGAAUAUUGGACAAUGGGCGCAAGCCUGAUCCAGCCAUACCGCGUGGGUGAAGAAGGCCUUCGGGUUGUAAAGCCCUUUUGUUGGGAAAGAAAAGCAGCAGGUUAAUACCCCGCUGUUCUGACGGUACCCAAAGAAUAAGCACCGGCUAACUUCGUG